UACGAAGGGGGCUAGCGUUGCUCGGAGUUACUGGGCGUAAAGGGCGCGUAGGCGGAUAUUUAAGUCGGGGGUGAAAGCCCAGGGCUCAACCCUGGAAUUGCCUUCGAUACUGGAUAUCUUGAGUUCGGGAGAGGUGAGUGGAAUGCCGAGUGUAGAGGUGAAAUUCGUAGAUAUUCGGCGGAACACCAGUGGCGAAGGCGACUCACUGGCCCGAUACUGACGCUGAGGCGCGAAAGCGUGGGGAGCAAACAGG
rnacentral:rRNA from 1 species